GACGUAGGGCGCGAGCGUUGUCCGGAUUUAUUGGGCGUAAAGAGCUCGUAGGCGGCUUGUCGCGUCGUCCGUGAAAACCUGCAGCUCAACUGCAGGCUUGCGGUCGAUACGGGCAGGCUCGAGUUCGGUAGGGGAGACUGGAAUUCCUGGUGUAGCGGUGAAAUGCGCAGAUAUCAGGAGGAACACCGGUGGCGAAGGCGGGUCUCUGGGCCGAUACUGACGCUGAGGCGCGAAAGCUAGGGGAGCAAACGGG
rnacentral:rRNA from 1 species